rnacentral:rRNA from 1 species
GACAGCAGUAGCCGCGGUAAUACGUAGGUGGCAAGCGUUGUCCGGAAUUAUUGGGCGUAAAGGGCUCGCAGGCGGUUUCUUUAGUCUGAUGUGAAAGCCCCCGGCUCAACCGGGGAGGGUCAUUGGAAACUGGGAAACUUGAGUGCAGAAGAGGAGAGUGGAAUUCCACGUGUAGCGGUGAAAUGCGUAGAGAUGUGGAGGAACACCAGUGGCGAAGGCGACUCUCUGGUCUGUAACUGACGCUGAGGAGCGAAAGCGUGGGGAGCGAACAGGAUUAGAUACCCGAGUAGUCCCUGUCUCUUAUAA